UGUUAACCUCAAAACCUGAAGAAAAAUGUUGUCUGUAACAGAAGACUCUGUUAGGGACAACAUGCAGGAAGAAUGUAAAACGUGACAGACUUCAUUAUUUGACGUUUAAUGUAGCCUGUUUGCACAAAAAUAUAAUAGGUGUUUUGUGCAUAAGCAGGAUAGUAUUAUUUUAAUCCUGUGUUUUCACGGAUACGUGGAUGGUGAGAGGGGAGUGGCGCACACCGGAAAUUAGCCAACUAUUGCUCCUCCGGCUGCUUAUAGUUAGUCAUAGCCAUGGCGCCGGAUGAAAAAAUUGUAGAGUGGCAAACAAACGAGAUAAUUGAAUCGCUGUUUAACGACGAAAACAGUGCGAGGCCCCGUAUGAUAGAUGGUGAUUUGGAGACUGACAGUUCAGACGAUUUUGACCCGGUUAUAAUCGCUGAUAAACUGAGAGCUGUCGCCGAUACCCUGAAUAAGGACCCCAAUUUUAAAAAAGCAUUAGAUGAGCUGAAGAAAACCGCAGCAACAGAGGCUACAGAGGCUGCAUUUGAACGUGGCGUGGAGCUCCUAUGUAAGAGUCAUGUCGCUCAGAAAGCUGACAUUGCUCCAGAGAUGCAGCUGAUCCGGGCCUCAGCAGCUAUUGGACUUUAUCUGAAAAACUCAUACCCAGAGAUGAAAGAGAAUGUCAAGACAGCCUUGGCUUCAUUCCUCAACAGGCGGGUGGGCAAAUGGAUCACUGAGAAAGGUGGAUGGGUAAGUAAACUUUUAAGAUUCAGAUCACUUCAGAUUUAAGUCUAAAUAUGACAGUAAACCUCAACCAAAAAAGGUUGACUGGGGUAUUGAUGACAAGCUGCCGGAUGGACUGUGUCGAAACCUUUUCUUCUUCUUUUUUUGUUAAUGCAAUGACUCAAGAAUCUUGGGAUUUCCAAAUAUAUUUUUCUGUGUAUUAGAUGUUAAUCAUAAUAAGGUUGGAGGUCAGACACUGAAAAAAAUGACAGCUGAAGUAGCCUUUCAAUUGUCCCACUGCAAAUAUUGGUUAAACAAUAUGUUUAUGUAAAUACACUUGUAAUGAGUAAGAAUACCAUGGUAAUUUGGGGCUUUUAUUGAUUUCUUUGAACUGCUCUUUUUCCAGGGUGGAAUCACAGUAUUUGGGAUGUAUGCAGUACAGAUAUUCCACCCUGGUAAAAUAACAGUUCAAACAAAUAAUUAAAAUGAUAAGUGUAUGUAACCAAAGCUCUACAGAAGAGGAGAAAAGUAAGGGUCAGAGAGUCUUUUUGUAUAAAUGUUUCUAGUGUUUUAUUAAAAGGACACUGCACUUUGUCCUGAUUGAACUUGUUAAACCUGACGCACUUGGCAAAGUUACUGAGGCUAUACUGACUUACUCUACAGGAAAUUGCAGAUGACCUUGUUAUGCAGCAUUUUUACAACAUGAAAUGAACUUUUAUCUUAGAUGAUUUUCGAAUCCGUCGGUCAUUCUUAGUCUGUCUUUGACCUGAACCACAGUCUUAUUUUAGUUAAGUCAUCUUUAAUUUUGGAUUCAGUUGCAGUUCAAAAAAUGAUUAAAAGACCAUUAUUGUUGUAUUAUACACUUUGUGCAAUAUCUGAAAUGUUUCAGUGACAUAUACAAAUUCAUGUCUUUUCAUUGUGCGUGUUUUGUUACUUUUCAGGGCAAAGUUGCACCUGUUUGAGACUAAAUCCAGCCAAACCAACCUCAUAGAGCUCUACAAUCAAACUGGGUAUUAAUUUCUUAAAUGUCUGUUCAGGGUUUUGUUAUCACACAGGCAGACAUGUUAUCACACACUAAGCCUGUUUAUUAUAUGAGAGAGAAGGGGGGGAAAAAAACAGAACACUUUCUCAUUGAAGUUCCUGCUUGGCUGAGCCCAUGUAGUGAUUCUUGGCUUUAUAUGUGGUGGUAAAAUAAUUGUAUUACUUGAAAUGCUCUCCCUGAAUGGGUUAAUAAAUAAAGGGCAAAUAAUAUAAAAAUAUGAUACCAGCGGAUCUUCACUACAUCAUGAUCUUAAGGGAGAGUCUUUUGAGUAAUCAGUGGGGUAGCCUCUAAUCAUGUCUAUUUAUUGUCUUUCUAAGUGCUGUCUUUUGGGAAGCUCUAGCAUUUCUCAGUAAGGUGAAAAUGCUUAGAUUAAUUAACAUUAUUUAGUAAGUUUAGGUGUGUUUUGAAUUCUUAAUGGGGAAAAACCUUAAAAAAGGGAUUUGUCCCUUUUGCAAAACAUGUUAAGAUUUUGACUCCAUAUGUACCUUAAAUCAUACUCAUUACAUUUUGCUAUCUUUGAUCGAGCUCUAAAUUCAUGUGUUUGAAAACAGUUUAGUGAAAUGCAGGUAGUCUGUCAUAUCUUGAGCCAUCAGAUGAUGAAGAACCUGCUGUCAGGUUGUUAUUUUUAUGUCUGCAUUUUAUUUAAUUUUUUUCACGAUGACAUAUUUGCACUGGGAAAAACUGAACAACUUCAAAAGUAGGUACACACGUGUUGCCAUUAGGGAUGUGCCAAUUGCAUUAAAAUAUUAAUUUGUAUGUCAGCUGGUAAAAUAUUUUUUAUUUUCUUAUUUGUUUCUUCUUAAUGACUCUAAACAGUAGUGGUAUAUACUUAAAUGUAAUGGUUAAUCCAACAUUAUGGACAAGGGUUUUAAUUGAAAUUAUAUUUCUAAUGCUAAAGUGUAAUUCAUGUUAUCCGUGAAUUUUCAAAUUUGCUGUUUUACAAAAAUUCAGAAAAAAUAGUAAAGCACUUAAAAGAAAAAGAGACCAACGGAAAGAUUAGUUGUUAGUGCCGGCUCAAAUUAAGGUCAGUGAAUUCAUUAAUUUUAAGUAGGUUUUUGACAGGAUUUCUAAAAUAAUGUUUGUUUUUCUGUUUCGUCAAUGACUGCUUAAUCAAUUUUAAAAGCAUUUGUUAAGCACUGUAUCUUUAAAUUUAGGAAACUAGAUUAUACAGUGAUGGAUAAAAAAAACAGUUAAUGCUAGAUUUGCUGAUGGCAAUCAAUGAAGCAGAUAUUAGGAAAUCAUGGUUAUUGGUGCUGUACGAUGAUGUCAUUAAACCCAGCAACAAAAGCAAAAAGAUGAAGCAAAUAAAAAAUGAAUGUAUAUUUGCACAUUGUUGUCAGUUAAAAGUGCAACUAAGCUUUUUCUUUUUGUAAUUUUUCUAAUGAUUCAAUAAAAAAAGAAUUUGAAAAUCUU
ensembl:lncRNA